rnacentral:rRNA from 1 species
GACGAACGCUGGCGGCGUGCUUAACACAUGCAAGUCGAACGGAAAGGCCCUGCUUUUGUGGGGUGCUCGAGUGGCGAACGGGUGAGUAACACGUGAGUAACCUGCCCUUGACUUUGGGAUAACUUCAGGAAACUGGGGCUAAUACCGGAUAGGAGCUCCUGCUGCAUGGUGGGGGUUGGAAAGUUUCGGCGGUUGGGGAUGGACUCGCGGCUUAUCAGCUUGUUGGUGGGGUAGUGGCUUUCCAAGGCUUUGACGGGUAGCCGGCCUGAGAGGGUGACCGGCCACAUUGGGACUGCGAUACGGCCCAGACUCCUACGGGAGGCAGCAGUGGGGAAUAUUGCACAAUGGGCGGAAGCCUGAUGCAGCAACGCCGCGUGCGGGAUGACGGCCUUCGGGUUGUAAACCGCUUUCGCCUGUGACGAAGCGUGAGUGACGGUAAUGGGUAAAGAAGCACCGGCUAACUACGUG